rnacentral:rRNA from 1 species
UGGGGAAUAUUGGACAAUGGGCGCAAGCCUGAUCCAGCCAUGCCGCGUGGAUGAUGAAGGCCUUAGGGUUGUAAAGUCCUUUCGGCGGGGAAGAUAAUGACGGUACCCGCAGAAGAAGCCCCGGCUAACUUCGUGCCAGCAGCCGCGGUAAUACGAAGGGGGCUAGCGUUGCUCGGAAUCACUGGGCGUAAAGCGCACGUAGGCGGCUUUUUAAGUCAGGGGUGAAAUCCUGGAGCUCAACUCCAGAACUGCCUUUGAUACUGAGAAGCUUGAGUCCGGGAGAGGUGAGUGGAACUGCGAGUGUAGAGGUGAAAUUCGUAGAUAUUCGCAAGAACACCAGUGGCGAAGGCGGCUCACUGGCCCCGGUACUGACGCUGAGGUGCGAAAGCGUGGGGAGCAAACAGGAUUAGAUACCCCAGUAGUCCCUGAGCGGGCUGGCAAGGCGCAU